rnacentral:lncRNA from 1 species
GAGCAACAGGGCUGAGGAGAUACCUGUUCUCCCAGUUUCACGGCCAGUACAAGGCCAUUCUUACACUGCUCGGGGGAGCCCCUCAGGAGAAGACACAUUUAAGAGUUUCCAGCAAGAAGAGUCAGGUCAUGCAGUCAGCUGCUUUCUCAGCCCAGCUGUGGGAAUGUAAACAAGUUUCUAACCUCAUUGAAUCUUAGGUUCCCUGUUUGGAAACAGAUGAGAUCCACAACAGCCAUUAUCUUAUUGGAUGGUUGUUGUAUGGCAGGGGCUGUACUGAAGAGUCACACACAUUACUUAGUCUUCCCAACAAUCCUGCAAGAUAUAGAACCUUGACAUGUUUCUCAGGCUGGUCUGAAACUCCUGGGGCUCAAGCGAUCCACCUGCCUCCACCUCUCAAAGUGCUGAGAUUACAGGGAUGAUGCAUCUGAGAGCUCAAUGCAUGUCGGUGAUGAUGAAGGUGAAGAUGCUGUGAGUGAUGAUGAGGAGGAGGAGGAGGAUGUAAUUGAAGGAGCUUGGGCUUUGCCAUCAGUACAGCUGAGUUAAAAUAUGGCAAACCAGGAAAACAGAGCUCAGUACAGAAGGGAGUUGGGCAGCCUCUGUUCCUGUUUGGCUCUGUCCUUGAAGAAAGUGAUAAGAAGUGCACAGAUUUUGGAAUUAAACAGACCAUGGUUUGAAGUCUGGAUCUUCCAGUUGUAACCAGGUGGCAUUGGGGCCUAUGGUUCAUCCUGCAAUAUCAGAGAAUACACAACUGUUGGAAGCUCAUUUGUGCAGAAGCACUAGUUAGACCAAGUCCCAGGAUGGUGGGGACUUGAACUGCCUCAUGCACAUUGUACCCAAGAGCCUGGCCCAUGAAGGUGAAUCAGUGGAUACUUGAAUAAAAAGAAGAAUAUGCGCUGAAGUUUUCUUUGAGGACAUUUUUUUUUCUUUCCAUAGUUUUGAGCAUCUCUGAUGUUUUGAGAUUUCUGCCAGUCUU